rnacentral:rRNA from 1 species
AGAGUUUGAUCCUGGCUCAGAUUGAACGCUGGCGGAAUGCUUUACACAUGCAAGUCGAGCGGCAGCGCGGGGGCAACCCUGGCGGCGAGCGGCGAACGUUAACCGGGGUGAGUAACAUAUCGGAACGUACCCCGUCGUGGGGGAUAACACAGCGAAAGUUGUGCUAAUACCGCAUACGACCUGAGGGUGAAAGCGGGGGACCGUAAGGCCUCGCGCGAUGGGAGCGGCCGAUAUCGGAUUAGCUAGUUGGUGGGGUAAAGGCUCACCGAAGGCGACGAUCCGUAGCUGGUCUGAGAGGACGACCAGCCACACUGGAACUGAGACACGGUCCAGACUCCUACGGGAGGGCAGCAGUGGGGAAUUUUGGACAAUGGGGGCAACCCUGAUCCAGCCAUUCCGCGUGAGUGAAGAAGGCCUUCGGGUUGUAAAGCUCUUUCGGCAGGAACGAAACGGUGGUCCUUAAUACGGGCUAGCUAAUGACGGUACCUGAAGAAGAAGCACCGGCUAACUACGUGCCAGCAGCCGCGGUAAUACGUAGGGUGCGAGCGUUAAUCGGAAUUACUGGGCGUAAAGCGUGCGCAGGCGGUUCCAUAAGACAGAUGUGAAAUCCCCGGGCUUAACCUGGGAACUGCGUUUGUGACUGUGGGACUCGAGUGUGGCAGAGGGGGGUGGAAUUCCACGUGUAGCAGUGAAAUGCGUAGAGAUGUGGAGGAACACCGAUGGCGAAGGCAGCCCCCUGGGUCAACACUGACGGCUCAUGCACGAAAGCGUGGGGAGCAAACAGGAUUAGAUACCCUGGUAGUCCACGGCCCUAAACGAUGCGAACUAGGUGUUGGGGAAGGAGACUUUCUUAGUACCGCAGCUAACGCGUGAAGUUCGCCGCCUGGGGAGUACGGUCGCAAGAUUAAAACUCAAAGGAAUUGACGGGGACCCGCACAAGCGGUGGAUGAUGUGGAUUAAUUCGAUGCAACGCGAAAAACCUUACCCUACCCUUGACAUGUCAGGAAGUCUGCUGAGAGGCGGAUGUGCCCGAAAGGGAACCUGAACACAGGUGCUGCAUGGCUGUCGUCAGCUCGUGUCGUGAGAUGUUGGGUUAAGUCCCGCAACGAGCGCAACCCUUGUCAUUAAUUGCCAUCAUUCAGUUGGGCACUUUAAUGAGACUGCCGGUGACAAACCGGAGGAAGGUGGGGAUGACGUCAAGUCCUCAUGGCCCGUUAUGGGUAGGGCUUCACAACGUCAUACAAUGGUCGGUACAGAGGGUUGCCAACCCGCGAGGGGGAGCCAAUCCCACAAAGCCGAUCGUAGUCCGGAUCGCAGUCUGCAACUCGACUGCGUGAAGUCGGAAUCGCUAGUAAUCGUGGAUCAGCAUGUCACGGUGAAUACGUUCCCGGGUCUUGUACACACCGCCCGUCACACCAUGGGAGUGGGUUCCACCAGAAGUAGGUAGUCUAACCGCAAGGAGGGCGCUUACCACGGUGGGAUUCAAGUCGUAACAAGGUAACC